rnacentral:rRNA from 1 species
GACGAACGCUGGCGGCGUGCUUAACACAUGCAAGUCGAACGGAAAGGCCCUGCUUUUGUGGGGUGCUCGAGUGGCGAACGGGUGAGUAACACGUGAGUAACCUGCCCUUGACUUUGGGAUAACUUCAGGAAACUGGGGCUAAUACCGGAUAGGAGCUCCUGCUGCAAGGUGGGGGUUGGAAAGUUUCGGCGGUUGGGGAUGGACUCGCGGCUUAGCAGCUUGUUGGUGGGGUAGUGGCUUACCAAGGCUUUGACGGGUAGCCGGCCUGAGAGGGUGACCGGCCACAUUGGGACUGAGAUACGGCCCAGACUCCUACGGGAGGCAGCAGUGGGGAAUAUUGCACAAUGGGCGGAAGCCUGAUGCAGCAACGCCGCGUGCGGGAUGACGGCCUUCGGGUUGUAAACCGCUUUCGCCUGUGACGAAGCGUGAGUGACGGUAAUGGGUAAAGAAGCACCGGCUAACUACGUG